rnacentral:rRNA from 1 species
AUUGAACGCUGGCGGCAUGCCUUACACAUGCAAGUCGAACGGUAACAGGUCUUCGGAUGCUGACGAGUGGCGAACGGGUGAGUAAUACAUCGGAACGUGCCCGCUCGUGUGGGAUAACGAGUCGAACGCUUUGCUAAUACCGCAUACGAUCUACGGAUGAAAGCGGGGGAUCUUCGGACCUCGCGCGGUCGGAGCGGCCGAUGGCAGAUUAGGUAGUUGGUGGGAUAAAAGCUUACCAAGCCGACGAUCUGUAGCUGGUCUGAGAGGAUGAUCAGCCACACUGGGACUGAGACACGGCCCAGACUCCUACGGGAGGCAGCAGUGGGGAAUUUUGGACAAUGGGCGAAAGCCUGAUCCAGCCAUGCCGCGUGCAGGAUGAAGGCCUUCGGGUUGUAAACUGCUUUUGUACGGAACGAAAAGCCUCUUUCUAAUAAAGAGGGGUCAUGACGGUACCGUAAGAAUAAGCACCGGCUAACUACGUG